rnacentral:rRNA from 1 species
GACGAACGCUGGCGGCGUGCUUAACACAUGCAAGUCGAACGGAAAGGCCCUGCUUUUGUGGGGUGCUCGAGUGGCGAACGGGUGAGUAACACGUGAGUAACCUGCCCUUGACUUUGGGAUAACUUCAGGGAACUGGGGCUAAUAACGGAUAGGAGCUCCUGCUGCAUGGUGGGGGUUGGAAAGUUUCGGCGGUUGGGGAUGGACUCGCGGCUUAUCAGCUUGUUGGUGGGGUAGUGGCUUACCAAGGCUUUGACGGGUAGCCGGCCUGAGAGGGUGACCGGCCACAUUGGGACUGAGAUACGGCCCAGACUCCUACGGGAGGCAGCAGUGGGGAAUAUUGCACAAUGGGCGGAAGCCUGAUGCAGCAGCGCCGCGUGCGGGAUGACGGCCUUCGGGUUGUAAACCGCUUUCGCCUGUGACGAAGCGUGAGUGACGGUAAUGGGUAAAGAAGCACCGGCUAACUACGUG